ACCAGUACCGUGAGGGAAAGGCGAAAAGAACCCCGGCGAGGGGAGUGAAAAAGAACCUGAAACCGUGUACGUACAAGCAGUGGGAGCACCCUUUGGGGUGUGACUGCGUACCUUUUGUAUAAUGGGUCAGCGACUUAUAUUCUGUAGCAAGGUUAACCGAAUAGGGGAGCCGGAGGGAAACCGAGUCUUAAUUGGGCGUUAAGUUGCAGGGUAUAGACCCGAAACCCGGUGAUCUAGCCAUGGGCAGGUUGAAGGUUGGGUAACACUAACUGGAGGACCGAACCGACUAAUGUUGAAAAAUUAGCGGAUGACCUGUGGCUGGGGGUGAAAGGCCAAUCAAACCGGGAGAUAGCUGGUUCUCCCCGAAAGCUAUUUAGGUAGCGCCUCGUGAAUUCAUCUCCGGGGGUAGAGCACUGUUUCGGCUAGGGGGCCAUCCCGGCUUACCAACCCGAUGCAAACUGCGAAUACCGGAGAAUGUUAUCACGGGAGACACACGGCGGGUGCUAACGUCCGUCGUGAAGAGGGAAACAACCCAGACCGCCAGCUAAGGUCCCAAAGUCAUGGUUAAGUGGGAAACGAUGUGGGAAGGCCCAGACAGCCAGGAUGUUGGCUUAGAAGCAGCCAUCAUUUAAAGAAAGCGUAAUAGCUCACUGGUCGAGUCGGCCUGCGCGGAAGAUGUAACGGGGCUAAACCAUGCACCGAAGCUGCGGCAGCGACGCUGAUGCGUUGUUGGGUAGGGGAGCGUUCUGUAAGCCUGCGAAGGUGUGUCGUGAGGCAUGCUGGAGGUAUCAGAAGUGCGAAUGCUGACAUAAGUAACGAUAAAGCGGGUGAAAAGCCCGCUCGCCGGAAGACCAAGGGUUCCUGUCCAACGUUAAUCGGGGCAGGGUGAGUCGACCCCUAAGGCGAGGCCGAAAGGCGUAGUCGAUGGGAAACGGGUUAAUAUUCCCGUACUUGGUGUUACUGCGAAGGGGGGACGGAGAAGGCUAUGUUGGCCGGGCGACGGUUGUCCCGGUUUAAGCGUGUAGGUGUGUGUUCCAGGUAAAUCCGGUUCACUUUAACACUGAGGCGUGAUGACGAGGCACUACGGUGCUGAAGCAACAAAUGCCCUGCUUCCAGGAAAAGCCUCUAAGCAUCAGGUAACAUCAAAUCGUACCCCAAACCGACACAGGUGGUCAGGUAGAGAAUACCAAGGCGCUUGAGAGAACUCGGGUGAAGGAACUAGGCAAAAUGGUGCCGUAACUUCGGGAGAAGGCACGCUGACACGUAGGUGAAGUGAUUUACUCAUGGAGCUGAAGUCAGUCGAAGAUACCAGCUGGCUGCAACUGUUUAUUAAAAACACAGCACUGUGCAAACACGAAAGUGGACGUAUACGGUGUGACGCCUGCCCGGUGCCGGAAGGUUAAUUGAUGGGGUCAGCGCAAGCGAAGCUCCUGAUCGAAGCCCCGGUAAACGGCGGCCGUAACUAUAACGGUCCUAAGGUAGCGAAAUUCCUUGUCGGGUAAGUUCCGACCUGCACGAAUGGCGUAAUGAUGGCCAGGCUGUCUCCACCCGAGACUCAGUGAAAUUGAACUCGCUGUGAAGAUGCAGUGUACCCGCGGCAAGACGGAAAGACCCCGUGAACCUUUACUAUAGCUUGACACUGAACAUUGAGCCUUGAUGUGUAGGAUAGGUGGGAGGCUUUGAAGUGUGGACGCCAGUCUGCAUGGAGCCGGCCUUGAAAUACCACCCUUUAAUGUUUGAUGUUCUAACGUGGACCCGUGAUCCGGGUUGCGGACAGUGUCUGGUGGGUAGUUUGACUGGGGCGGUCUCCUCCUAAAGAGUAACGGAGGAGCACGAAGGUUGGCUAAUCCUGGUCGGACAUCAGGAGGUUAGUGCAAUGGCAUAAGCCAGCUUGACUGCGAGCGUGACGGCGCGAGCAGGUGCGAAAGCAGGUCAUAGUGAUCCGGUGGUUCUGAAUGGAAGGGCCAUCGCUCAACGGAUAAAAGGUACUCCGGGGAUAACAGGCUGAUACCGCCCAAGAGUUCAUAUCGACGGCGGUGUUUGGCACCUCGAUGUCGGCUCAUCACAUCCUGG
rnacentral:rRNA from 1 species